UUUUUUUUUUUUUUUUUUUUUUUGCCUUUUUCCAGUUUCUAGAAGUUGCCUGCAUGCCUUAGCUUGUGGCUCCUUUUUCCAUUUUUAGAAUCAGUAGCAUAGCAUCUUCAAAUAUCUCUCUCUCUUUCUCUCUGAUUUCUACUUCUGUUGUCACAUCUCUGUCUCUGACUCUGUCUUUUGCCUUCCAAUAUAAUCACAAGAACCUACGCAGAUACUUCUGGAUAAUCUUCCCAUUCUUAACUUAAUUGCACCUGCAGAGCCCCUUUUACCAUGUAAAGGUAGCACAUUCAUGGUAUAGGGCAUUAGGAUGUGGGCAUCUCUGGGAAUCCAGUAUUCUACUUUCCUCAAUAUGUAUGUAGGCACAUUAACAUUUAUUUCUAUAACUAUAUAAAUAUAUUGGAAACCAUGAGUUCACUUGGAUACCUCCUAUUCCAGUCCAUCUACUAUAAGGUUCAUUCCAGCUUUCUGUUUCAAUAUUUGUAACUUCCUUUCCCAACAGUGAGAAAUCUGGCUUCCAUUAUCCUUAUUAAGUUACUUAUCUGAUUUAUCAGCUCUAUGUACCUAGUCUCCUAUUCCACUUCCAUUCUCUUACCCAUUGAAGAAGGUUCUCCACUCUGCCUGGACUCUGAUCUCUUACACCUGGCUGCCCUUCACAGGGACACCCUCCUCACCCUACUCACACUCAGCGUCCACAAGCUAGGCUGCCCCCUGCAGGAACACUGUCCUCACUCUAAGGAGCCCUUGGAUGGGGACACCCUUCUUACCCUGGGGGGGGCCCUUACAAAUGGCUCUGACCACUAUGGUGCCUCCUCAUGAUUGCUCUGUCCCACUUACUGGUUUUAGGAGACAAUUGUUGGGAGAGGGAAAAGAAGAGAAAGAAAAGCCCAAAUGACAUGUUUUUAGAAAGGAGAAAGGGCACUGAAACUUUGGUGCAAACAAGGGUGGGAAAUGUGGAAUGGGGGGAGGGGAGAGAGGAGGACUUGAAGAAAUACUGGUUACUGGAAUUGGUCCCCUGUUCUUAGGCCUGUUUGCAUAUUUGAGGAGUCGACUCAUAUUUUUCUGGGUUGAGAUUGCUGCCACCAGCCUGGAGCCUCAUCAAAUCACUUUUUAUUAAAAAACCACCCUUUGGCUCCUGAUGUUUUUUAUGCUGAUUAAGAACACUGACUUGGCUCAACGCACAAGAGGGCUGAUUGUGGCUCUGCCUCUUGAAGCAGAAGAGGCUUUUGAUCAAGUUGAGUGGGAGUUUAUGUUUGAGGUACUUUAAAAAAUGAAGUUUGGAGAUAAGCUCAUGAACUGAAUUUGAACUUCAUUCCAAGCUCAUUGAACAGAAAUGUUUUAGAUCCUUUUAAUCUGGAAAAAACCCAUUGCUAUUGCCCUUUUAAUCCCUUACUUUUCUUUCAAAUAAAGUUCUUUCUCAAAUUGCUUAUUGUUUAUCUUCCUCCUGAGAAGGGCACUUCAAAAAUAAACUCUGAAGUUUAAAGAUGUUUGCAUUUUUCCCUUCUUGGCUUGGGUGCCUUUUCCCUUUGCACCGGCACCCAGAGCAAGGACAAUGUCUGGCAGUGACAAGGGUGGAAGAGUUUCUCAGUGGCAAUCUGGGGUUGUGCUUGGCUUCACAGUGUGGCUCUGUGGGAUGGUUGCUCAGAAAGCAGAAGCUUGUGGUUCCCAUCUCAGUUCCUCCACUGGCUUCUGAGUGACUUAUGGCGAGUCAUUUAAUUUCUACAUGUUUGGUCUGCCCAUCUGCCAUAGAGAGCUAAUGAUACCCCUCAUCUACUUAUCUCAUAGGGGUGUUGUAAGGGCUGAUUAACGUACAGGGUGGUGAAACAUUGCGUAUGUGCAAUGAGCUAAGAAAAGUGAGCCCGUGAGCCCAGAGACUUCUGCAAAUUAGAGGUGAUCUUUCCUUUCAGGAAUGAGUUAUGCUUAUGGUCUGGUAUUUUUUUUGGCCAUCUGUCUGUUUGUCUUAUUAAUUCAACUUAUGCUCUUAUUAAUUAUAUACAUAAUAAUAUGCUUGACACACAUGAAGUCAUCCUCUUCAAUAUUUUUGUGUACUUCCUGUGUGCCUGGCACUCUCUGUAUGAGAAUUAAAAACCCAAGUAAAAACUGAAUUAUGGGAAGGUCAGAAAAUGAGAACGAUUUAUGAGCAAACUCAUAAUUAUGUUUCUACUGUUUACCCUGAUGAUAUGUGUGAACAGAGGUUUCUCUUUUUAUCGUAAAACUUACCUGAGGGUGAGCUUCAGUUUCCUGAAUAUUUGUGAGAGGCACAGCUUAGUGUUUGAAAGGAAGAGUUAGCCAUUAGCCAAUUUCUCAUAGAAGGAUAGUUUUCCUAAAGACAUGCUGUUCCACUCAAUUAAUUUCCACGUAGCUUUUCCUGCUAGAAAGAACAGUAAUUUAAAUUAGGCCUGCCCCUUUGCAGUGGCAAGAAUGUAGUAAAAAUGGAUACUGUCAGCAUAUCCUCAACAUAGAGAAGUUAAGCCAGGUUGUACAUGAACUUAAAACUAAACUAAAAAUUAUUAUUUCAUACUCCUGGAAAGUCCUCAUUUGUGUCCACCCAGAAAGAAUUGCUUUCCACAUUAUAUCUCCCAACCCAUGCAGAUGGUCUUUGCCUUCAGUGACAUUACCUGGAAACAGGAUAUAAGAGGUCUGUGCUUUUAUAUCAACCAGAGUUCACAUCUGAGUUCAAAA
rnacentral:lncRNA from 1 species